rnacentral:misc_RNA from 1 species
GAUGAAGAACGUAGCGAAAUGCGAUAAGUAAUGUGAAUUGCAGAAUUCAGUGAAUCAUCGAAUCUUUGAACGCACAUUGCGCCCGCCAGUAUUCUGGCGGGCAUGCCUGUCCGAGCGUCAUUUCAACCCUCGAACCCCUCCGGGGGCCUCGGUGUUGGGGGACGGCACACCAGCCGCCCCCGAAAUGCAGUGGCGACCCCGCCGCAGCCUCCCCUGCGUAGUAGCACACACCUCGCACCGGAGCGCGGAGGCGGUCACGCCGUAAAACGCCCAACUUUCUUAGAGUUGACCUCGGAUCAGGUAGGAAUACCCGCUGAACUUAAGCAUAUCAAUAAGCGGAGGA